UAUGUGAUCGUCUCUCGCAUAUCAAUAAGCGGAGGAAAAGAAACUAACAAGGAUUCCCCUAGUAACGGCGAGUGAAGCGGGAAGAGCUCAAAUUUGAAAUCUUAAAGGGUUUCCCUUUACGAAUUGUAGUUUAAAGAAGUGUUUUCUGUUGAGGUUUUGGUAAAAGUUCUUUGGAAUAGGACAUCAUAGAGGGUGAGAAUCCCGUAUUUGACCUUUACUUUCAACUUUGUGAUACACUUUCAAAGAGUCGGAUUGUUUGGGAAUGCAGUCCAAAAUGGGUGGUAAAUUUCAUCUAAAGCUAAAUAUUGGCGAGAGACCGAUGGCGAACAAGUACCGUGAGGGAAAGAUGAAAAGAACUUUGAAAAGAGAGUUAAACAGUACGUGAAAUUGUCAAAAGGGAAGCGUUUGACACCAGUGUUGUUUUUCUGAAAAUCAAUUAAAGAACUGUUUAUGCUAAGUUGUUUAGACUUUAUCAGCUAUCUGUUUAGUUUUGAGCUUUUCUUUAAUGCACUUUUCAGUUAACAAGUCAACAUCAAUUUCUUUUGCUGUAAAAAAGCUUGAGGAAGGUGGCUUGAGAUUCGUCUUAAGUGUUUAUAGCCUCUUGCCUAUGCAGUCGGAGAGAUUGAGGUCUGCAGCGUAGAUCCUUCGGGGCUAAAUGCAUUUGUGCUAAGUUAUAGCAUUUUAUAGACAACUUGUUGACUAUGAUUUGUCUUGUAGCUUACUCGCUCAUGUUAUUUUACCUACGCUUAGGAUGUUGAAGUCAUCGUAUCGCGC
rnacentral:rRNA from 1 species